UUUCUCAACUGCAAGCCCCGUCCGAAGAAAGGGACAAACUGCUUGAAUCUCAGCGACUGUGAGUCCUGUGUAAUGUCGGGGCGACCAAAAGGUCCUAAAGGUCAUGGACUUCCUUUGGCAAAUGGGGAGGUUUGGGCCAGAGUUCUUCAGUUCUCACCAUAUGUGAAGGGCCCCCACCCAUAAGAUGGCGAACCUCCUGCUUCUCUUCCCGGUCUUCGGUUCCCGCCAGCGCCACCCGAGGCCCAAUCACCUCUCGCCCCCCCCCCAUCCGAGUACCUGGCCAAUAGCCACCAGUCCCGUUGAAGUGGCACCUCAAUCAGCUUAUGUCCCUCCCUAUAUAACCUAGUACUUUUCCCCAAUAAAGUGGAACUCACCAGUGAAUUGCUGCAGUGUGUCGCUCCUUCCUUUCAAUAUGCACAGGACCUAAGGCCCCUGCCCCUCAGCCCUAGCCAUGAGGAAUUAUCCAGUUUAGUAACAGAUCUUGCAGCCUUCAGUCAAGCUGUCCAGCUAAUACUGUAUAGAGCAGAGGUGAACAUUCCCACUGAUCUCUGCGCAAGUGCAGAUUUGUAAGCAAAAUAAAUUAUUAGUAUUGUUUCAAGUCACAGAGUUUUAGAAUGGCUUGUUAUGCAACAAUAUUCAAGCACCUAUGAAGUGUUAAUAUCUAUAUCAAUUAUCAUGAAAGAAAAAAAAAUCACCUAAUAAUUGAAUUUUUUUCUUGGUAAUAUUUUAUGCCUCCACUAGCCUCACCUAUAGAAUACAAAAUUUUUAACCUUAAAAAGCUAAAAUUACUUAAUAAUCAACAUUCACCAUUCCUUAAAAAAAUUAAAAAGGUUUUAAGUCAGAGCCACUUUGGAUGAUGGGAAUUGACUUGCACAUGAGCUUAGCUCUGGGAGUAAAGGGUUUCCCCGCCUGGGGUACGUUCUCUGAACUCGAUGAAACUGGUGAAAGACAAGGGAAAGGGCAGGUCGGGAGGAACGGUUUUAUUGCUCACAACUCAUCUGUCCCUCAGCUCCACUAGCCAGCCCCCUGCUCUGUCUCUGCUGCCACAGCGCGUGCUCGCUUUCCCCACCCACCCCUUUCAGGAAAGAACUCCCUAGGCUGGUCCCUGGUGACUGGCGGGCACCAGACCAAUUAAGUACCAAGAACAGAGGGGAAAAGAAAAUGGCUGUUUUCUCUCCAUUGCCCCUGCCUGUGGCUGUGCCCUGGCACAUUGAUAGGCAAAUCGGCCAGGGCCAGGCCGGAAAUUCCUGGUGAAAACUUCCAUUUACCCCAUAAUGAUCAAGUUGUUAAGGAAAGAGUUGAAAUCAGUUUCCUAGGUUAUGCUUACUAACAUUUAUUUCCCAUAUCUUCCUAGAUGUUGGAGUGGUUGUCUUAAAACACAAAUCUGAUCACCUCUUUCCUCUGCCUAAAUGGCUUCCUGCUGCUCUUAGCCUCUUUCAGCUUCAGCCUCUGCAUUCUCAUUAAAAAUUGCUUCCCCCGCACUUCCCCCUACCUAUUGGGUCACUAUUUUCCAUCAAUCAAGUACCAGUAAGUGUCAGUUUCUCAGAUCUCCCUGUUGAAUAUUCUCGGGACAGUUAUUAUAAUCAUGAUGAAUUAUUUACGUUUGAUUACAUUUCACAUCUCUUGUCCUCAUUAUGCUUUAAGUGCUAUUGAGAAUACUAAGUAUGUCUGUUUAGUUCUAUUCUGUGACCUCAGAGCCUAAAACGAUACUGGCAUCUGGUUGACUCACCAUAAUAUUUAUUGAAUGAACCAUUGAUGAGGAUAAUUGAGGUAUGUCUUAUUCUUACUGGAGCCUCAGAUUUUAUGUAUGUAAAAUCAUUACCGGUGUUGUGAUCUGAUAGCCCAACAAAAUGUCAAAGACCAUAAAUGGCAGCCAUCUACCUUCACAUUAUAUAUAUCGCCUUAAACCAAAUGACUUAACUGUGAAACUUCACAUAAACUUUGUGUAUGACAAACCACAGUGUUCUUCAAACUUUUUGGUCUUGGCCCCCUAAAAUAAUUACCAGCUAGCUUAUUUUAAACUUGACAUCUAAAAUUUGUCAUUAAAAGUUUGAUCAGGUGCAAAGGAUGUACCUUCCAGCAUGUAACUUUAAAUCUUUUAAAAUAAAACUGUUGCCAAACUUUAAA